rnacentral:rRNA from 1 species
GAAACCUUUACACUGCACGAAAGUGCGAUAGGGGAAUCCCAAGUGCGAGGGCAUAUUAGCCCUCGCUUUUCUCGACUGUAAGGUGGUCGAGGAAUAAGAGCUGGGCAAGACCGGUGCCAGCCGCCGCGGUAAUACCGGCAGCUCAAGUGAUGUCCAAUAUUAUUGGGCCUAAAGCGUCCGUAGCUGGCCGCGCAAGUCCGUCGGGAAAUCCACCUGCUCAACAGGUGGGCGUCCGGCGGAAACUGCGUGGCUUGGAACCGGAAGGCUCAGAGGGUACGUCCGGGGUAGGAGUGAAAUCCCGUAAUCCCGGACGGACCACCGAUGGCGAAAGCACUCUGAGAAGACGGCUUCGACAGUGAGGGACGAAAGCUAGGGUCUCAAACCGGAUUAGAUACCC